rnacentral:lncRNA from 1 species
AUGAUUAUAGAUAUCGAGAAUUUAUAUAACCGACCCCAACGUUUUUAGUAUAAAGAAACUGGUGUCUUUGUUAUUGUACAAAUAAAGUUUUAAUAUUUUUCUUGUAACCGUUGUGUGUUAAAAUUUUUUUUGGAGCUAAAGAAUGGGGUUGAAAUUAUACAGGGAUAAUGUUUCAAGACAUACCUACUGUACUACUGGAUUCAAAUGCAUUCAAAGACUUAACUCCGAAAUUCAUAAAAGAGAACAAUGGCGUUUUAUAAUCAAAUCAUAAACCCCAAUCAAGAAUAAUUUUUUCGUAAAUUUUUUACUUUCUUCGGAAUAAGUGUUAAUUUUGUAUUUUAAUUAUAAAAAUUCCGAAAUAAAUUUUUUUUACGAAUUUUUUAACUUUUUUCAGGAUAAAUGUUGAUUUUAUAUUUUAUUAAAAAAAUUGAAAAUUAAUUUUCACAUAUGGAUUACUUAGGUAUACGACAAUAUAAGCAAUUCUAACCCAGUUGGACUGUCAUGUCAGCUUUAAUGACAAAACUAACUGUUGAGGGACAUUUUUGGGCCAAAACAUAGACGGCAGGGAUUUUUU